GUGUCAGCAGCCGCGGUAAUACGUAGGUGGCGAGCGUUGUCCGGAAUUACUGGGUGUAAAGGGCGUGUAGGCGGGGAUGCAAGUCAGAUGUGAAAUACCGCGGCUUAACCGCGGGGCUGCAUCUGAAACUGUGUCUCUUGAGUGUCGGAGAGGAAAGCGGAAUUCCUAGUGUAGCGGUGAAAUGCGUAGAUAUUAGGAAGAACACCAGUGGCGAAGGCGGCUUUCCGGACGACAACUGACGCUGAGGCGCGAAAGCGUGGGGAGCAAACAGGAUUAGAUACCCUGGUAGUCCACGCUGUAAACGAUGGAUACUAGGUGUAGGAGGUAUCGACCCCUUCUGUGCCGGAGUUAACACAAUAAGUAUCCCGCCUGGGGAGUACGGCCGCAAGGUUGAAACUUAAAUGAAUUGGCGG
rnacentral:rRNA from 1 species